rnacentral:lncRNA from 1 species
GAAAGAUGGUGUUUGUACUGCAGAGCUGUGGUCUUAACAUUUACACAAAGUCACAAAGUUUGAUCUCAAAGUCGCUAAACCUCUCUGUGCCUCAGUUUCCCCAUAUACACAAAGGAAUAAUAACCGUCACUAUCAGUAGGGUGUUUUAGCAGCAAAUAACAGAAAAUCCAAAUCAAAUUGACCUCAACAAUAAGAACAUUUACUGACUCCCAGAACCAGAACUGCAGUGGUUGGGUAUGGCUUCCUCUCCUGUCAUCUCUUGCCCCCAUCCUGUUUUGUUCUCAUAACAACUAAAUCCUUAGGCUGAUAGGAAAAUGGAAGCAACAAUCUGCAAACUGACAUGGGCCAAGGUUUCAAGGAUUUUAUUUAAGGUAACAUCCUAACAGGAGAUUUUUGAACCACAAAGGUUCCAGCCCUUAAUGGUGAGAUUUAGUGCCUUACAGUCACUGGUAUAUCCUUGGGAUGCUAGAUAUUAUCGUGGCUAGCAUAAGACCAUAGGGUCAACUUUGCUUCCCUUGACAUUCUGGAAUGUGUCCACACCAGGCACAGGAGCCGGAAUGGCUGUGCCUUCUGUGAGGUCACCAAUAUCAUCAGAGGAUGCUCCUUUUAGGGGAUGCAGGUAGCCAAUGAACAGCCAGAGCUGAAGAGGCACCAUGAAGCUGAAAGGUCACCUUGGGUUCCUUUGAAGGGAAGGAUACAGAGUCCAGCCAGUGCUCAUUCCUGUUGGUGGUCUUCUUCCAGAAGCCUAAAGUAGUGGUUCUCAAACUUGAGCACUGGCUUUGAGAGCUUCUCAAGUUUCCAGAUGAUGCUGAUGCUGCUGGUCCAGGGACCAGAAUUUGAGAAGCACUGACCAAGAGGAUGAAUGAUGGAGUACGCUUUGCAGCAGAGACCAACAGCAGCCACCCGGACUCAGUUGACUUUCUGCUUACUCUGGCUUAUUUAUUCUCCAUAUGCUCCCCAUCAUCACUGAAGUAUCCUGGAUCAUUCAUUUAUGGAGGGAACCACAUUUUUACCUUAUAGGCUAGAGCUCUCUGUGGGAGAGCGGUGGGGUUUUAUAAUUUAUCAACUAUGAGGAGCUCACUAUUUCAUACCCAUGGCUGUUUAGAAUGCUUAAGAGAACACAGAAGCUCCCUGAGGUGCGGCCCUUUUUUAUGCUGGAUCUCCAACACUGGAAGCAAAAGGAAGUCCCAAACAGAAACUAUAUGCAGUGCUGAAUCUACAGUGGCUCUGAGAACUUUUAACUAAUGGGCACUUGUAAAUCUCACAACAUUUCCUACUGGCGUGAAUGCCCUGGGUAAAAUGCUCAUUAAACUGUCAGCCAGCAGAGAGGUGUCGUUGCUGGAAAGAGAGUCACAGCAUCCAGGGGUGGAAAGAGGCCUCCCUGGGCCACCAGGGCCCUCCUCUCCCCCAUUCACCCACCACCAACCCCAGACUCAAACCCUCCUUUCAAAGCCUUUCAGAGGAUGUUACAACUCUCCUUCACCUCCACCAGGAAAUUAUUCUUUUUCUCCAAUCCAAAUAUAUAUAUAUAUAUUCAUGUUUAAUCACUAUUUCUUUUUGUUGGAGAGGAUAUCUUCUAUGAAAAUUGAGAAUGGCUAGCCACUGUCCAUGGUGGACAGUCUUUCAUGUACUUAGAAUCCCUUAUAAAAUUACUCCUGAGUCCUUA